AGGUCAGACACGGUACUUCUAGGACCGAACAACCAGUAUCUCCCUAAAAAAUUUUCUGUAUUUGCUGAGGUCUUGUUGAUGUGCAUAGUGUCAAGCAAAGUAGCUCGGAUGUUGUGAAGGUGGGCAACAAGUUAUUGUAGUUCAACUAUUAUUUGUUGAUGACUUUCAUCUCUUUCACAUUUGAUGUAUUACAUUUGUCUACUAUUGGAAUGAUUAUUUGUAUGACA